CGCGUAGGUGGUCCGAUAAGUUUUGCGUAAAAUGCCAGAGCUCAACUUUGGCGCUGCGUGAAAUACUGUUGGACUAGAGGGUGUGAGAGGCAAAUGGAACUCACGGUGUAGGGGUGAAAUCCGUUGAUAUCGUGGGGAACACCGAAGGCGAAGGCAAUUUGCUGGCACACUCCUGACACUCAGUGCGCGAAAGCGUGGGAGCAAAAA
rnacentral:rRNA from 1 species